rnacentral:rRNA from 1 species
AACGAACGCUGGCGGCAUGCCUAACACAUGCAAGUCGAACGAGACCUUCGGGUCUAAUGGCGCACGGGUGCGUAACGCGUGGGAACCUGCCCUUAGGUUCGGAAUAACUCCCCGAAAGGGGUGCUAAUACCGGAUAAUGUCUUCGGACCAAAGAUUUAUCGCCUUUGGAUGGGCCCGCGUUGGAUUAGCUAGUUGGUAGGGUAAAAGCCUACCAAGGCGACGAUCCAUAGCUGGUCUGAGAGGAUGAUCAGCCACACUGGGACUGAGACACGGCCCAGACUCCUACGGGAGGCAGCAGUGGGGAAUAUUGGACAAUGGGCGAAAGCCUGAUCCAGCAAUGCCGCGUGAGUGAUGAAGGCCUUAGGGUUGUAAAGCUCUUUUACCCGGGAUGAUAAUGACAGUACCGGGAGAAUAAGCGCCGGCUAACUCCGUG